rnacentral:lncRNA from 1 species
UAGAGUAAAAGUUACUCUCCUUCUGAUAAAUUUUAUAGCUAUGGAUUAAUGAUAAUGGUCUUAUAUUUCUAUCACUCAAUGACACUGUUCUUUAUAUUGAUGAGAAUAAAAAAUAAAUAUGUGAUGGUCACAUAUCUCAGGACAAGUAAGGUAUUAAGUCUUGAACAUAUGGAUGUUCGAAGGCUAAUAAUAUCUCGACCCAG